ACGAACGCUGGCGGCGUGCUUAACACAUGCAAGUCUUACGAGAAAAGGGUAGCAAUAUCCUGAGUAAAGUGGCGCACGGGUGAGUAACACGUAGGCAAUCUGCCUUUAGGACGGGAACAACUCCGGGAAACCGGGGCUAAUACUCGAUAAUGCAGCGGCUCCGCAUGGAGACAGUUGUUAAACCCCGCAAGGGGCCUAUUGACGAGCCUGCGUCUGAUUAGCUAGUUGGUGAGGUAACGGCUCACCAAGGCUACGAUCAGUAGCUGGUCUGAGAGGAUGAUCAGCCACACUGGAACUGAGACACGGUCCAGACUCCUACGGGAGGCAGCAGUGAGGAAUAUUGCGCAAUGGCCGAAAGGCUGACGCAGCGACGCCGCGUGAAGGAUGAAGUUCGUUAGAAUGUAAACUUCUUUUGUAGGGGAUGAAUGUUCCGUUUUACGGAAUUGACCGUACCUUGCGAAUAAGGAUCGGCUAACUACGU
rnacentral:rRNA from 1 species